rnacentral:rRNA from 1 species
AUGCCACCUUGGGAGCGCUUCCGGGAGCUCUAUCUCCUCCGUUUUGGGCCUCCUAUCCGCGGGAGCCGACUGGCGGCCCUCGGUCGUUUACCGUUCACAUCUACGGUGCAGGACUACGCCGACCGCUUCCAGGCCCUGGCGUGCCACGCGCCGGGCGUCUCCGCGACCCAGCGCGCCGAGCUCUUUGUGGGCGGUCUACCGGACCAUAUCCGCGUGGACGUCGAGCUCCAGGAUCCCCCCGACCUCCAGACGGCCAUGUACUACGCCCGGGCCUUCGAGCAACGGGCCCAGGCACUGCAGCAGCCACUCGGACGGAGUGGUCGCCAGCCUAGUCGGCCAGCGCCGACUUCCUCAACCUCGGGUCGGCCUCUUCCAGCCGCGACGGCCACACCCCCGGCCGCCACACGGCCCUUCCGUCGGCUGUCACCGGCCGAGCAGCAGGAGCGUCGUCGUCAGGGUCUCUGCUUCAACUGCGAUGAGCCCUACACGCCGACCCAUGUAUGCCCCCGCCUCUUAUUUAGAGACGGUCGACUACACCGAGGAGGACGACUCACCCGACCCUUUACAUCCGCCUCGGCGACCGAGGACGCGGCCGCGGAUUCCGCAGCGACGGCGUGCGUCGUCUCCCUUCACGCCCUGGCCGGCAUCCGGGGCGAGCGGACCAUGCUGCUGCCCGUGACGAUCCAUGGCAAGCGACUGGUGGCCCUGCUGGCGAUACAUCAAGAUUGUAUCACCUCAAGAACACGAGAGAGAGAGAGAGAUCAAACACAUAGCUACUGGGACAUACCCUCAGCCCCGAGGGAGAACUACUCCCUCCUCGUCAUGGAGAGCACCGGGAUGAUGAAGAUGGCCACCGGAGAAGGAUUGCCCCCUCUGGCAGGGUGCCGGAACGAGUCUAGAUUGGCUUUCAGUGGCUACGGAGGCUUCUGGCGGCGGAACUCCUGA